GAGCAAAUCUCCAAGCUGCAGCCCGUGGAGGAGCCCCUGGUGGAGCAGGUGAAUGUGGCCUGGAGGAGGCUGUGGCCCAUGGAAAGCCCCUGCAGAAGCAGGCCCUGGGCCGGACCUGCCGCCCGUGGAGAGGAACUCACACAGGAGCAGGGGGUCUGGGGGGAGCUGCCGCCCACUGUGGGGGACCCGUGCUGGAGCAGUUUGCUCCUGGGGGAUGGACCCUGUGAAUGGAUGGAUGGACCCCAUGGUAUGGAGCAGUGUGGGAGCAGU